AAGAGAUUAGUUUAAUAAAAACGUUAGAAUGUCAAAUUAAAAUUACCUUGAGUAUCUCUUU
rnacentral:tRNA from 1 species